rnacentral:rRNA from 1 species
AUGGCAUGGCUGGAACGCCUGCUUCCUAUCUCAGUAGUCCUCGCGUCCUAUGGGACGGUCUACAGCCUCGACGCCGGUGAGCUUGACGAGCUUGGAAAUGGGCUCUGCGAUUCCGGCAAGCCAUUUCUCUGGGUCGUGAGAUCCAGCGAGGUAGAAAAGAUAUCUGAAGAACUCCAUGACAGAUGCAAGGAAAAUGGAUUACUUGUGCCUUGGUGUCCCCAGCUUGAUGUCUUGGCGCAUAAAGCCAUAGGUUGUUUCUUGACACACUGCGGAUGGAACUCAACAACAGAAGCAAUUGUUGCCGGUGUGCCAAUGGCGGCAAUGCCAAGGUCGGCUGACCAGCCAACCACGGCAAAAUAUGUGGAGAGUGCAUGGGGGAUCGGCGUGCGGAUGCGUGCAGACGUGAAAGGCUUGGUGAGGAGGGAGGAGGUGGAGAGAUGCAUCCGGAAGGUGAUGGAUGGGGAGGGAAAGGAUGAGUACCGCAGAAAUGCGACAAAGUGGAUGGAGAUGGCCAAAGAGGCAAUGCAGGAAGGAGGGAGUUCGGAUAAAAACAUUGCUGAAUGCCAAUUAUUUAUCGACAUAAAUUUAGGCCUAAUUAUCCAUAGCCACCCCAUGGUUAUAUUGCGAUUCAUCCCAUAUUUCGUAUGCACGUUUUGA